rnacentral:tRNA from 1 species
GCGAGAGUGGUGGAAUUGGCAGACACGCUAGAUUUAGGUUCUAGUAUCCUGGAUGUGCGGGUUCAAGUCCCGCCUCUCGCA